AUUCUCCUGCCUCAACCUCCUGAGUAGCUGGGACUACAGGCGCCCGCCACGACGCCCGGCUAAUUUUUUGUAUUUUUAGUAGAGACGGGGUUUCACCAUGCUAGCCAGAAUGGUCUCAAUUUCCUGACCUCGUGAUCCACCCGCCUCGGCCUCCCAAAGUGCUGGGAUUACAGGCGUGAGCCACCGCACCCGGCCUAAAGUUAUAUUCUUUUACAGUAUCUUCUAACAGUUUUAGAAUUUUUUUUUUGACAUUUAAGUUUUCAUUCUACCUAGAGCUUUUUUUUGUAAGAGAGAGGUUUCCAACUUUACCUUUUCCAUCUGGAUGCCCAAUUAUCCCAGAGCUAUUUAUUGAGACAUUCAGUCUUCAUUGAUGUGCCCUGUCUUUACUUAUAUGUAUGGAUCUGUUUCUCAACACUCUAUUCUGCUCCAUUGGCCUGUUUAUCCUUGGGCUAACACAACACUGUCUUAAUAGCAGCAGCUUUAUAAUCAUUGUUAGCUGAUAAAGUAUGUCCUCUCAUCUUGUGCAAUAGGAUUGCCCUUUCCUACACCUUUGCAAAUUCUAUGCAUUGUCCUGUGUUCAAAAACAAAAAAUAAAGCUGUUGAGAUUUUUAUUGGAUUGACCAUGUGAACUAAUCUGGAGAACAUUGACAUAUUUCCAUUACUUUUUUUUUCUUUUUUUUCCUUAAGGUCAGGAAAGCAUCACAUAUUUCUAUUACUGAGUCUUCUAAACGAUGAAAUUAUCUGUCUCCAUUUAUUUAGAUCUCCUUUAAUAUAUCUAUAAUUUUUAAGAGGUUUUACACGUUGUUAGAUUAAUUUCCAGCUACUUGUACUUUGAGAUGCUAUUAUAAAUGACUUUUUUAAAAAGAUGGGGUCUCACUAUUGUUGCCUAGGCUGGUGUCAAACUCCUGGGCUCAAGUGAUUCGCCUGUGUUAGUCUCCCAAAGUGCUGGCAUUACACGCCUGAGCCACCGCACCAACUGUUUUUUUUUUUUUUUGAGAUGGAGUCUAGCUCUGUCGCCCUGGCUGGAGUUCAGUGGCAUGAUCUCAGCUCACUUUUUUUCAUUUUCUAAUUGUUUGAUGGUAGUUUUUAUGAAUGUAGUCAAUUUUUUAUAUUGACCUUAUACCCAGCAACCUUGCUAAAUAAAUUUAUUAAUUCUAAUAGUUUGUAGAUUAUUUUCAGUUUUUCAGGUAUAAAACUGUCCAGAAAUACAGUUUUAUUUCUUUCAAUUGUGUAUACCUUUUAUUUAUGUUUCUUCCCUUAUUCUAUUGCCUAGAACUUCCAGCAGUGCUGACUAGAAGUGCGCCCCGUUCUUGACCUCAAAGGAGAACUUUCAACAUUUUGCAUCGUGUUUAUUCUAGAGUUUUGUAGAUCUCCUCUGUCAAAAUUAGGAAGUUCCAUUGUAUUUCUAAAUUUGCUGAGAACUUUUAUUAAAAAUGGAUGUUAGGUGUGGACGCAGGUGGCUCACACCUGUAAUCCUGGCACUUUGGGAGGCUGAGGCAGGAGAAUCAGUUGAAGCCAGGAGUUCAAGACCAGCCUGGGCAACAAAGCAUAAAGGCAACACAAGUGGUCAGGCUCAGCUACUCUGGUUCCUACAGACUUUCCCCUUUGGGAUAGCGUCUCUCACCAUCUUGACUGCUUACCAACAGAAGCGCCAAAACCAAACUUGAGGAUGUCCACAAGCUUGCUCUACACUUCUACAUUCAUCCUCAUCUUUUUUGUGUGUGUUUGUGGGGUAGGGGAGGUGCAGUGUUUACUCAGUGAUCUUUCUACUUUCUAGAAAGUGUCUGUCCUUCAAAACUAUUUAAGAGCCUCUCAUUAGUCAUUUUUUCUCUUAUAUGCUCUGGUUGAGCUUGAAUAGACCAGUUGUUGCUUAAGAAAGAAACUGAAAAGAUUUUAGCUUUUCAGUCCUAUUUGGCAGAGGACUUCAGCUACCUUCUUAUGGUCUUUGGCUGUGUUGGUGCCCUCAUGUGCUCUGGGCUAAGCCACAUACUAAAUUGACUUUUUGGUUUGUAUACCCUUGCUCUCGCCUUCUGAUGAAAACACCUUACCCUCACCACCACCAUCUUUGCUCUCCUUUCCCAAAACUCUUUCCGCCUUGCUGCACUAAGAUAGUGACACCUCCACCACACGUCAAUUCCACACACAUUUAUUAGGUACCUGUGAAGCAGGAUCUUAUCCUCUUAAACUUCCACUUCUCACACUAGAGAGAAAGAUAAGGAAGAUGAGCAAGUGCCUGGAAUGGGGCAGGCUGAGUGGUCACACAGGCACAGAGGCACACUGAGAACCUACAGGGGAGACUGCAGAGUGCCUUCCCUGAUGCUGCAGCUGGAAGUCAUCCUUCCCUCCACCUGGCCCCUGAGACACUCUACUCUGUAGUGUGCAGUCUGAUGGCACUGCUAGAUUUCUUUUUCAGCUCAGGGCCACAGCUUAAACAGCUUUACCUUUCCCCUCAGCACCUGUCCCACUACCUUGCACACAGGUACUCUAUCCGUGUUUAUUGAACAAAGGAGGGAAACUGAUUUCACUUUCACUUGUUCAUUAUCAUUCCAAUUUUUAUGUGAAAAUGGCACAACCCAUUUGGGGUACACUCAUCUCAAAAGAAAAGCCCAAGACUACCUCUGACUGGUACCACCUUUUUUGUGGGUUCCUUGGUGAGAAACCUUUAUCUUUUUCAUACUUUUCUAUUCUCCAUCACUUCUCCAAAAGUGUCUCUUUCCAGCUCUGAUUUAUUCAAAACACACAAACAUUCCUGUUUAGAGAUUCUAGCCCAUGGAUUAUCCGGCUAGUUAGUACCUCUCCUGUUCACUUGGUUAUACUUUAUUAUUGCUCAGAGGUUGGGGAGGCAGAAUGACUGUGUCCCCUCACCCUGGCAGAAUGACUGUGUCACCACUAGGAGCCAUUAGGGCUUCUUCCCAGGAGGACUGCCUGCUUGCUUUCUGGGGACUAGCCCUUAUUUCCCUUCUGUGGUCCAGUGGGGCAAGUGAUUUGUAUUAGACAAAUAUUUAUAAGAAACAACCCCCUCCCCAAAAUAGAGCCACCAAGUAAAGCACAAGCCUGAAAGAUGAUGAACUAUGAAUUGUCUCUAGUGGAUAUAAAUUUCUGCAAAUAUAUCUCAGUCUUUCUCUCUUUUCUCUGGUGAUUAAAAAGUUGGUUUUUGGUAAGGAAAAGGAUUUUUGACCAUAGAGUUAUGCAUCAUGGAAAUUCAAACCCGAUUUCUUAAUACCUGGUCUUCUCCGAAGAGAAAUAAUGAUAGUAAUAGUGGUGCUGGGAACAAUAUGGAAGAUUAUUGAAUGAAAUGGAUUAACUUGAAUAAAAUGCUGUGAAUUAUCUCU
rnacentral:lncRNA from 1 species